rnacentral:rRNA from 1 species
GACGAACGCUGGCGGCGUGCCUAACACAUGCAAGUCGAACGGACAAAGCCUACCUUUCUCCUCGGUGUUAGUGGCGAACGGGUGAGUAACACGUGGGUAACCUGCCUGUAAGACUGGGAUAACUUCAGGAAACCGGAGCUAAUACCGGAUAAUACUUCUUAACUCAUGUUCGGGAGCUGAAAGAUUCUUUCGUCUAUCACUUACAGACGGGCUCGCGGCGCAUUAGCUAGUUGGUGAGGUAACGGCUCAUCAAGGCAGCGCUGCGUAGCCGACAUGAGAGGGUGAUCAGCCGCACUGGGACUGAGACACGGCCCAGAGGCAUACGGGAGGCAGCCGUAGGGAAUCUUCUGCAAGGGGUGGAAGUCUGACGGCACAACGCCGAGUGAGUGAUGAAGGUCUUCGGAUCGGAAAACUCUGUUGUUAGGGAAGAACCCGUACCGGAGUAACUGGCGGUACCUUGACGGUAACUAAGCAGAAAGCCACGGCUAACUACGUG